UACAGAGGUCUCAAGCGUUGUUCGGAUUCACUGGGCGUAAAGGGUGCGUAGGCGGUUCAGCAAGUCGGGUGUGAAAACUCUGGGCUCAACCCAGAGACGCCACCCGAUACUGCUGUGACUAGAGUCCGGUAGGGGAGUGGGGAAUUCCUGGUGUAGCGGUGAAAUGCACAGAUAUCAGGAAGAACACCAACGGCGAAGGCAGCUCGCUGGGACGGUACUGACGCUGAGACGCGAAAGCGUGGGGAGCGAACAGG
rnacentral:rRNA from 1 species